rnacentral:rRNA from 1 species
UUAAGCCCCAGUAAACGGCGGCCGUAACUAUAACGGUCCUAAGGUAGCGAAAUUCCUUGUCAGGUAAGUUCUGACCCGCACGAAUGGCGUAAUGACUUGGGCACUGUCUCAACUGCAAAUCCGGCGAAGUUGUAGUGCGAGUGAAGAUGCUCGCUACCCGCGAUUGGACGGAAAGACCCCGUAGAGCUUUACUGCAGCUUAGCAUUGAAUUCCGGUAUUGUCUGUACAGGAUAGGUGGGAGACUGGGAAACUAGGGCGUCAGCCUUAGUGGAGUCAACCUUGGGAUACCACCCUGACAGUACUGGGGUUCUAACAGGACGCCAUGAAACUGGUGACUGGACAUUGUUAGGUGGGCAGUUUGACUGGGGCGGUCGCCUCCUAAAAAGUAACGGAGGCGCCCAAAGGUUCCCUCAGAACGGUCGGAAAUCGUUCGUAGAGUGCAAAGGCAAAAGGGAGCCUGACUGCGAGACCUACAAGUCGAGCAGGGACGAAAGUCGGGCUUAGUGAUCCGGUGGUACCUCGUGGGAGGGCCAUCGCUCAACGGAUAAAAGCUACCUCGGGGAUAACAGGCUGAUCUCCCCCAAGAGUCCACAUCGACGGGGAGGUUUGGCACCUCGAUGUCGGCUCGUCGCAUCCUGGGGCUGUAGUAGGUCCCAAGGGUUGGGCUGUUCGCCCAUUAAAGCGGCACGCGAGCUGGGUUCAGAACGUCGUGAGACAGUUCGGUCCCUAUCCGUCGCGGGCGUAGGAAAUUUGAGAGGAGCUGUCCUUAGUACGAGAGGACCGGGAUGGACUGACCUCUGGUGCACCAGUUGUUCCGCCAGGAGCACGGCUGGGUAGCUAAGUCGGGAAGGGAUAAACGCUGAAAGCAUCUAAGCGUGAAGCCUCCCUCAAGAUGAGAUUUCCCAUAGCAAAAGCUAGUAAGACCCCUUGAAGAACACAAGGUUGAUAGGUCAGAGGUGUAAGUGCGGUAACGUAUGUAGCUGACUGAUACUAAUAGGUCGAGGGCUUGACCAA